GCAAAGGGAGAAGUAGGCUCCAUGCAGGAAGCCCGACGUGGGACUUGAUCCUGGGUCUCCAGGAUCAUGCCCUGGGCCAAAGGCAGCACUAAAUCACUGAGCCACCCCGGCUGCCCCAGAAUGUCAUUUUAGAUAGGAAUGGAGCCAGUUUGCAUUUUAUAGGUCAUGAAGUAGAUACUUGAUGAUAUCAAGGAGAUUGUUCCAAGGGGUGCCCUUCUAUGCAAAAGUAAAGAAUACAAUAAAAUAAACCCUAGUGAGAGUAUUUUUUUCCUUCAGAUGAGUGGAUGUUCUUUCCCAUUUGCCCUGGUAUUGACCUACACAGCGUAUAAACAAGAUUGAUUUUGGGACUAGGGAAGAAAGACAAAGGCUUAGAGAUUCCAUGGAGCUUCUGCUCAUAACCUUUCCUGCUUGACCCUAGAUUAAACUUUGACAAGACCAUAAAGUAUCUCAGAUAUAAUCUCUACACUAUUCAUUCUUCUGAAGUCUCAGCAAAAGGUCCUAUAGAUCUUGUCAGUUUUGGAAUCCAGAAGGCUUCAAUUUCAAGACAUCUACGUCAUUAUAUUACUCAACCAGAAAUUCAGCUCCCAGUGAACCUGGUGUCAGAUUUCAGCUCAGCUCAAUGUGUCACAAGUCAGUUUUUGACACUAGAAUACCCUGAGUAAAGGUAUAGUUGGCCCAAUUACAUUUUGGCCAAGACUAAUGCUUAUAAAUC
rnacentral:lncRNA from 1 species